AGUGAACGCUGGCGGCGUGCCUAACACAUGCAAGUCGAACGAUGAUGAUGGAGCUUGCUCUAUCUGAUUAGUGGCGCACGGGUGAGUAAUGCAUAGAUAAUGUGCCCCUUAGUUUGGGAUAGCCACUGGAUACGGUGAUUAAUACCAGAUACUCCUUCUGAUUAUAAGACGAGGCGGGAAAGUUUUUUCGCUAAGGGAUCAGUCUAUGUCCUAUCAGCUAGUUGGUGGGGUAAGAGCUCACCAAGGCAAUGACGGGUAUCUGGUUUGAGAGGGUGAUCAGACACACUGGAACUGAGACACGGUCCAGACUCCUACGGGAGGCAGCAGUGAGGAAUAUUGCACAAUGGAGGAAACUCUGAUGCGGCAACGCCGCGUGGAGGAUGACGCAUUUCGGUGUGUAAACUCCUUUUAUUAGGGAAGAUUAUGACGGUACCUAAUGAAUAAGCACCGGCUAACUCCGUGCCAGCCGCCGCUGUAA
rnacentral:rRNA from 1 species